rnacentral:rRNA from 1 species
GGAUUAGGCAUGCAAGUCGAACGAGGAUAUAUCCUUCGGGAUAUAAGCCGAGUGGCGCAAGGGUGAGUAAUGCAUAGAUUACCUGCCUCUAGGAUAAGGACAACUUUGUGAAAACGAAGCUAAUACUUAAUAAUACAAAAGAAAAUAAUUUUCUUUUGUCAAUGGGAGGGUAGCAAUACCUUUUGCCUAGAGAGGGGUUUAUGUCCUAUCAGCUUGUUGGUGGGGUAAUGGCCUACCAAGGCGAAGACGGGUAGCCGGUCUUAGAGGAUGGUCGGCCACACUGGGACUGAGACACUGCCCAGACUUCUACGGAAGGCUGCAGUCGAGAAUCUUUCGCAAUGCCCGAAAGGGUGACGAAGCGACGCCGCGUGAGUGAGGAAGGCCUUAGGGUUGUAAAGCUCUGUCAGGAGUUAAGAAAUAUAAGUGUGUUAAUACCACGUUUAUUUGACGAAGGCUCCAAAGGAAGCCACGGCUAACUCUGUGCCAGCAGCCGCGGUAAUACAGAGGUGGCAAGCGUUGUUCGGAAUUAUUGGGCGUAAAGAGCACGUAGGUGGGUUUGUAAGUCAGAUGUGAAAGCCUUCUGUUCAACGGAAGAAUUGCAUCUGAAACUGCAAGUCUCGAGUGUAGGAGGGGAGAAUGGAACUUCUGGUGGAGCGGUGAAAUGCGUAGAUAUCAGAAGGAACGCCGGCGGCGAAAGCGAUUCUCUGGCCUAUUACUGACGCUCAGUGUGCGAAAGCUAGGGGAGCAAACGGGAUUAGAUACCCCGGUAGUCCUAGCCGUAAACGAUGGGCACUAAGUAGAGGGAAUUACCGAUGUUCUCUCUGCCGUAGCUAACGCAUUAAGUGCCCCGCCUGGGGAGUACGGCCGCAAGGCUAAAACUCAAAAGAAUUGACGGGGGCUCGCACAAGCGGUGGAGCAUGUGGCUUAAUUCGAUGCAACGCGAAAAACCUUACCGGGGCUUGACAUGGUAGAAGUAGGAACCCGAAAGGGUAACGAACGGUAUCCAGUCCAUAGCUAUCACAGGUGUUGCAUGGCUGUCGUCAGCUCGUGUCGUGAGACGUUGGGUUAAGUCCCCUAACGAGCGAAACCCUUGUUUUUAGUUACCAGCGGGUUAUGCCGGGUACUCUAGAAAGACUGCCGUCGUCAAGACGGAGGAAGGUGGGGAUGACGUCAAGUCAUCAUGGCCCUUAUGCCCCGGGCUGCACACGUGCUACAAUGGUCGGUACAAACGGAAGCGAAGCCGAGAGGUGAAGCGAAUCCUAAAAAGCCGAUCUCAGUUCGGAUUGGAAGCUGAAAUUCGCCUCCAUGAAAUUGGCAUCGCUAGUAAUCGCGGAUCAGCAAUGCCGCGGUGAAUAUGUUCCCGAGCCUUGUACACACCGCCCGU